rnacentral:rRNA from 1 species
GGUAGCUUGCUACCAGGCGUCGAGCGGCGGACGGGUGAGUAAUACUUAGGAAUCUACCUAGUAGUGGGGGAUAGCUCGGGGAAACUCGAAUUAAUACCGCAUACGACCUACGGGAGAAAGGGGGCAGUUUACUGCUCUCGCUAUUAGAUGAGCCUAAGUCGGAUUAGCUAGAUGGUGGGGUAAAGGCCUACCAUGGCGACGAUCUGUAGCUGGUCUGAGAGGAUGAUCAGCCACACCGGGACUGAGACACGGCCCGGACUCCUACGGGAGGCAGCAGUGGGGAAUAUUGGACAAUGGGGGAAACCCUGAUCCAGCCAUGCCGCGUGUGUGAAGAAGGCCUUUUGGUUGUAAAGCACUUUAAGCAGUGAAGAAGACUCCGUGGUUAAUACCCACGGACGAUGACAUUAGCUGCAGAAUAAGCACCGGCUAACUCUGUGCCAGCAGCCGCGGUAAUACAGAGGGUGCAAGCGUUAAUCGGAAUUACUGGGCGUAAAGGGAGCGUAGGUGGCUCGAUAAGUCAGAUGUGAAAUCCCCGGGCUCAACCUGGGAACUGCAUCUGAUACUGUUGAGCUAGAGUAUGUGAGAGGAAGGUAGAAUUCCAGGUGUAGCGGUGAAAUGCGUAGAGAUCUGGAGGAAUACCGAUGGCGAAGGCAGCCUUCUGGCAUAAUACUGACACUGAGGCUCGAAAGCGUGGGUAGCAAACAGGAUUAGAUACCCUGGUAGUCCACGCCGUAAACGAUGUCUACUAGUCGUUGGGUCCCUUGAGGACUUAGUGACGCAGCUAACGCAAUAAGUAGACCGCCUGGGGAGUACGGCCGCAAGGUUAAAACUCAAAUGAAUUGACGGGGGCCCGCACAAGCGGUGGAGCAUGUGGUUUAAUUCGAUGCAACGCGAAGAACCUUACCUGGUCUUGACAUAUCU